rnacentral:tRNA from 1 species
GUCCCCGUAGCUUACGCUCACCAAAGCAUGGCACUGAAGACGCCAAGACGGUCCAAAAUGGCCCCGGGCACA